CGGUAACCACUAUAAGGAUAACCCGGAUUAAUCGUCGAAGAGGCUCCACUAGGUGUACACUCUCCAUGGAAAAUCCAUUUUUUAUACCCCGAAUGAAGCCAUCAACAAUUAGAUGUUCGUAGACAACUUCACGAUAAUGCCAAUAGAUAUUGCCACACUUCUUACACGGGCAAAGAAUCAUAUUCUCUUGGCUUGAAUUGUGAAAUACAAAAUC
rnacentral:lncRNA from 1 species